rnacentral:rRNA from 1 species
GUUUCAGCAGCCGCGGUAAUACGUAGGGUGCGAGCGUUGUCCGGAAUUACUGGGCGUAAAGAGCUUGUAGGUGGUUUGUCGCGUUGUUCGUGAAAUCUCACGGCUUAACUGUGAGCGUGCGGGCGAUACGGGCAGACUAGAGUACUGCAGGGGAGACUGGAAUUCCUGGUGUAGCGGUGGAAUGCGCAGAUAUCAGGAGGAACACCGGUGGCGAAGGCGGGUCUCUGGGCAGUAACUGACGCUGAGAAGCGAAAGCGUGGGGAGCGAACAGGAUUAGAUACCCCAGUAGUCC